rnacentral:rRNA from 1 species
GACGAACGCUGGCGGCGUGCUUAACACAUGCAAGCCGAACGGUAAGGCCCUUCGGGGUACACGAGUGGCGAACGGGUGAGUAACACGUGGGUGAUCUGCCCUGCACUUCGGGAUAAGCCUGGGAAACUGGGUCUAAUACCGGAUAGGACCACUGCCUGCAUGGGUGGUGGUGGAAAGCUUUUGCGGUGUGGGAUGGGCCCGCGGCCUAUCAGCUUGUUGGUGGGGUGAUGGCCUACCAAGGCGACGACGGGUAGCCGGCCUGAGAGGGUGACCGGCCACACUGGGACUGAGAUACGGCCCAGACUCCUAGGGGAGGCAGCAGUGGGGAACAUUGCACAAUGGGCGCAAGCCUGAUGCAGCGACGCCGCGUGAGGGAUGACGGCCUUCGGGUUGUAAACCUCUUUCAGCACCGACGAAGCGCAAGUGACGGUAGGUGCAGAAGAAGGACCGGCCAACUACGUGCCAGCCGCCGCAGUAA